rnacentral:rRNA from 1 species
AGUGCAUGUGGUGGAUGCCUUGGCGAUCACAGGCGAUGAAGGACGCGGUAGCCUGCGAAAAGCUACGGGGAGCUGGCAAACGAGCUUUGAUCCGUAGAUGUCCGAAUGGGGAAACCCGGCCCUUUUGGGUCAUCCUGGACUGAAUACAUAGGUCCAGUGAAGCGAACGCGGUGAACUGAAACAUCUAAGUAACCGCAGGAAAAGAAAUCAACCGAGAUUCCCAAAGUAGUGGCGAGCGAAAUGGGAUGAGCCUUGCACUCUUUAUUUGUAUUGUUAGCCGAACGCUCUGGAAAGUGCGGCCAUAGCAGGUGAUAGCCCUGUAGGCGAAAACAGUAUGAAAGAACUAGGUGUGCGACAAGUAGGGCGGGACACGUGAAAUCCUGUCUGAAGAUGGGGGGACCAUCCUCCAAGGCUAAAUACUCGUGAUCGACCGAUAGUGAACCAGUACCGUGAGGGAAAGGCGAAAAGAACCCCGGGAGGGGAGUGAAAUAGAUCCUGAAACCGCAUGCAUACAAACAGUCGGAGCCUCGCAAGGGGUGACGGCGUACCUUUUGUAUAAUGGGUCAGCGACUUACGUUCAGUAGCAAGCUUAACCGUAUAGGGCAGGCGUAGCGAAAGCGAGUCCGAAUAGGGCGUUCAGUUGCUGGGCGUAGACCCGAAACCAGGUGAUCUAUCCAUGGCCAGGAUGAAGGUGCGGUAACACGUACUGGAGGUCCGAACCCACUAACGUUGAAAAGUUAGGGGAUGAGCUGUGGAUAGGGGUGAAAGGCUAAACAAACCUGGAAAUAGCUGGUUCUCUCCGAAAACUAUUUAGGUAGUGCCUCGUGUCUCACCUUCGGGGGUAGAGCACUGUCAUGGUUGGGGGGUCUAUUGCAGAUUACCCCGCCAUAGCAAACUCCGAAUACCGAAGAGUGCAAUCACGGGAGACAGACAUCGGGUGCUAACGUCCGGUGUCAAGAGGGAAACAACCCAGACCGCCAGCUAAGGUCCCCAAAUAUAGCUAAGUGGGAAACGAAGUGGGAAGGCUAAAACAGUCAGGAGGUUGGCUUAGAAGCAGCCACCCUUUAAAGAAAGCGUAAUAGCUCACUGAUCGAGUCGUCCUGCGCGGAAGAUGUAACGGGGCUAAGCUAUAUACCGAAGCUGCGGAUGCGAGCUUUGCUCGCAUGGUAGGAGAGCGUUCCGUAAGCCUGCGAAGGUGCCUUGUAAAGGGUGCUGGAGGUAUCGGAAGUGCGAAUGCUGACAUGAGUAGCGAUAAAGGGGGUGAAAGGCCCCCUCGCCGUAAGCCCAAGGUUUCCUACGCAACGUUCAUCGGCGUAGGGUGAGUCGGCCCCUAAGGCGAGGCAGAAAUGCGUAGCUGAUGGGAAGCAGGUCAAUAUUCCUGCACCAUUGUUAGAUGCGAUGGGGGGACGGAUCGCGGAAGGUUGUCCGGGUGUUGGAAGUCCCGGUCGCUGCAUUGGAGAAGGCGCUUAGGCAAAUCCGGGCGCGUAAUUCAAGGGUGUGGCGCGAGCUCCUUAGGGAGCGAAGCAAUUGGAAGUGGUUCCAAGAAAAGCCUCUAAGCUUCAGUCUAACGAUGACCGUACCGCAAACCGACACAGGUGGGCGAGAUGAGUAUUCUAAGGCGCUUGAGAGAACUCGGGAGAAGGAACUCGGCAAAUUGGUACCGUAACUUCGGGAUAAGGUACGCCCUUGUAGCUUGACUGGCCUGCGCCAGGAGGGUGAAGGGGUUGCAAUAAACUGGUGGCUGCGACUGUUUAAUAAAAACACAGCACUCUGCAAACACGAAAGUGGACGUAUAGGGUGUGACGCCUGCCCGGUGCCGGAAGAUUAAAUGAUGGGGUGCAAGCUCUUGAUUGAAGUCCCGGUAAACGGCGGCCGUAACUAUAACGGUCCUAAGGUAGCGAAAUUCCUUGUCGGGUAAGUUCCGACCUGCACGAAUGGCGUAACGAUGGCCACACUGUCUCCUCCCGAGACUCAGCGAAGUUGAAGUGUUUGUGAUGAUGCAAUCUACCCGCGGCUAGACGGAAAGACCCCAUGAACCUUUACUGUAGCUUUGCAUUGGACUUUGAACCGAUCUGUGUAGGAUAGGUGGGAGGCUAUGAAACCGGAACGCUAGUUUCGGUGGAGCCGUCCUUGAAAUACCACCCUGGUUUGUUUGAGGUUCUAACCUUGGCCCGUGAUCCGGGUCGGGGACAGUGCAUGGUAGGCAGUUUGACUGGGGCGGUCUCCUCCCAAAGCGUAACGGAGGAGUACGAAGGUACGCUAGGUACGGUCGGAAAUCGUGCUGAUAGUGCAAUGGCAUAAGCGUGCUUAACUGCGAGACCGACAAGUCGAGCAGGUGCGAAAGCAGGUCAUAGUGAUCCGGUGGUUCUGUAUGGAAGGGCCAUCGCUCAACGGAUAAAAGGUACUCUGGGGAUAACAGGCUGAUACCGCCCAAGAGUUCAUAUCGACGGCGGUGUUUGGCACCUCGAUGUCGGCUCAUCUCAUCCUGGGGCUGUAGCCGGUCCCAAGGGUAUGGCUGUUCGCCAUUUAAAGAGGUACGUGAGCUGGGUUUAAAACGUCGUGAGACAGUUUGGUCCCUAUCUGCCGUGGGCGUUGGAUAUUUGAAGGGGGCUGCUCCUAGUACGAGAGGACCGGAGUGGACGAACCUCUGGUGUACCGGUUGUCACGCCAGUGGCAUCGCCGGGUAGCUAUGUUCGGAAGAGAUAACCGCUGAAAGCAUCUAAGCGGGAAACUCGCCUUAAG